UACAGAGGGGGCGAGCGUUAUUCGGAACUAUUGGGCGUAAAGGGCGCGUAGGCGGCUUUUCAAGUGACGGGUGAAAUCCCUCGGCUUAACCGAGGAACUGCCUGUCAGACUGGAAGGCUUGAGACCGGGAGAGGUGAGUGGAAUUCCCAGUGUAGCGGUGAAAUGCGUAGAUAUUGGGAGGAACACCAGUGGCGAAGGCGGCUCACUGGACCGGAACUGACGCUGAGGCGCGAAAGCGUGGGGAGCAAACAGG
rnacentral:rRNA from 1 species